UACAGAGGUCUCAAGCGUUGUUCGGAUUCAUUGGGCGUAAAGGGCGCGUAGGUGGCGGGACAAGCGUGCGGUGAAAGCCUGGGGCUCAACCCCGGGUCGGCCGUGCGAACUGUUUUGCUUGAGCACUGUAGAGGCAGGCGGAAUUCCGGGUGUAGCGGUGGAAUGCGUAGAGAUCCGGAAGGACACCGGUGGCGAAGGCGGCCUGCUGGGCAGUAGCUGACACUGAGGCGCGACAGCGUGGGGAGCAAACAGG
rnacentral:rRNA from 1 species